UACGUAGGGUGCAAGCGUUAAUCGGAAUUACUGGGCGUAAAGCGUGCGCAGGCGGUUAUGUAAGACAGAUGUGAAAUGCCCGGGCUCAACCUGGGAACUGCAUUUGUGACUGCAUGGCUAGAGUGUGUCAGAGGGGGGUAGAAUUCCACGUGUAGCAGUGAAAUGCGUAGAUAUCAGGAGGAACACCGGUGGCGAAGGCGGCUUUCUGGACGACAACUGACGCUGAGACGCGAAAGCGUGGGGAGCAAACAGG
rnacentral:rRNA from 1 species